rnacentral:lncRNA from 1 species
GGCGAGUUAGAAAGCAGCAGCAGUGACUCGGAAGAGGACACAGUUAAAGUCACCCAUGAUAUCACACUAUCUCAGGAGGAGUUGAAAAUUUUGGAAGAGGCCAAAGAAAAGCAUGAGAAGGAAUUGCAGGAAAAACUGGAGAAACAAAGACAGAAAGAAAAAGAAGAAAAAGAAAGUAUGAACGAAGCAGCAAUCAAGAAAGAGAAGGAGAAGAUGGAAUCAGUUUGAAUGACAGUCAGACCAAGCCUGAAGACGGGGUGGACGAUGAAGAAGACGACGAAGAGUCUUUGAAAGAUAUGUUGCCUUUCGGAAAUCUGCUGGACAAUGACAUCGUCAACAUGAUGAAUGAAGACGGUGUCAAACCAGAUACAACAGGUUCUGAUGGGGAAGAAACUCCUUCCCAAUCCAACUCUGGUUCUAAAGAUGAAUUGACGGACAUUUUCAACUCACACUUCAACCUUGACUCAAUCGUGCGGGAAACCGGUUUACCAAAUAUGGACUCCAAAGAUGUUGAAGAGAUCUUCAAAGAUGUUCUCACAGAUGAAGUAGUGGCCAGUGUUGAAAAUGCUAAUUUGCCUGCCAACCCCAAUCAAGCCGCUAACCCAGUCAAUGUCUUCUCUGUUACAAACCAACACCAGCCAAACAUGAAUAUUAUUCAAGGACCUCAACCAAUUAUGUCGCCUUCCUCUAAUCACCCUGCCCUGCAUCAAGCCGUUAGUCUACCCAGAUCUCAAAUCCCUGCAGCUCUACCUCCUGUUGUGCAUUCAAAUUUGCACCUCUCGGAUACCCCUCAGCAUCACCCCUCAGCAUCACCAUAUCAUUCUGAAUAUAGCAACAGCCCUCAAUUCAGUCCAGCCUCGCCCUGGCUGGGAAGUGAUGAAGGCGAUAGUUGCUCCACUACUCAGCCUGCGGGUUCAACAUCUAAUCAGCGAUCUUCCCACCGUAUGGAACAGGACGAGAAACUAGGGCGGAAUGCAACAAUGGCCUCUGUCCUAUAUGCCAAUCUCAACCACCCAGAAUGGAUCAAAACAAUAUCCAGCCUGGUCUGAGCGCUACAAACAAAUUCAAAAAGUCUGGCGGGCCCUUCCUGCCGAGAAGAAGACAUCAUAUGUUAGUCAAGCGCGAGAAAACAGAACCAGUAUGCGAGUGAAGAAGUCACAGCAGGUAAGAUUCAUUUUGACAGUUAUUGUAUUUAGCAGUCCCUCGGUACUGAAAAUGACAGAGACGCUACCGAAGCUCGUUUGAACCAUGAACAAACUACCAAAAUCCAGCUUGAUAUAAGUCACAUUGUGUGCUUGAUUACACUUCAAAGAGUGAUAACCCUCUCACGAUUGUAGCUUUUCCCUUGUAUGAUUUGUACCCAAACGACCUGACCCGUAGCUAAUUACAAGCUAAUACACCUGUUCUUGUGAGUCGUGUUUCAUUCACAGUAUAUAUCUGACAAUAUUAGAAUUGUGUUAGAAAACAUUUCUUGGUUAGCCAACUAUGAAGAAAGCAACUAUUUAUCUUGUUCUAAAAGAAAUUGGUAGUAUAGUGAAUGUAUUGAAAGCAGACGAUCGUCGAAGAAUAUUUUUUAUACCCUGGCAUUUGGAGUGAUUUCCCUUGAGUGUAGCAUUUUUUGGAAGGGCUCAGUGCCGUUUCAAGUUUUCAAAAUUUGACGAAUGAUCGAACUUUCAAGUUUGUCUGCAGCUUGUCAUAUCCUUAAGGCAAGUAAUUAAUAUCAAAAUUGAUCCUGCGACAGGAAGAAAGUGUAGCCAUCUAAUUUGAAGUUCACAACAUUUCGUAUCAAGAAGGCGAUUUUAAGGAUUGAAUGCACUUCUUACUCCUAGUGGGAAGUUUAAAAAGAACAAUUUUCACAAUUAUUUUUGUCAUUUUUUCCCAUCUUAUGUUAAGAAGUAGCCUGGUCUUUUUUUAACAAGAGAGUAUUUUUACCUCUUCACCCACUAUGGUCAAAUUUUUUUAUUAUUAUUAUUUAACUAGAAUUCAGGAAAGUCUUAAAAGAAGUUUUUAAGUUUUGUGCGUUUACAUCACCCCCAAUCAAUUGUAUUUCUGAGCACCAAUUUAUUGAUACUAUUCUUUAAAAGCCUACUUUUGUUUUAAUCAUCAGAUUAGAGGAACUUCCAACAGGAGGUUUUGAGUUGUGCGUGUCAGUAACAAUGCAGGCUAAUUUAGAUAGGUGAUGAACGUUGGUGUCGGUUUUCGAUUAUAAUUAUUUUUGAGACCAACUAUGCAGUGUUCAAGACCAAGAAAAAAGAGACUACGGACGUUGAGAGUAAAAUACCUGUGUGUCUUUUGUGUCUGCUUUUGUCUUGCUUCUCACUGGGGAUGUCCAGUCACUUCAGAUUUUAAAUGUCUCCUGAAUUUAACCAUUGCAACAAGUUCCGUUAUUUGCACUUUUCCUUUCCCAUGUCAUUCAUGCGAACGUCUGUCUUUUGGUUUUUUUUUUUUUUUUUAUACUCGUGGUGGAUACAAACUGGGUGCAGUGAACUAAAAGCAUUAAAGAGGUUUGGCUCUUGUGGCUUGGGUCAAAAUGUGGAGAGCUCAGCACACGCUAUGCAUUUUCAGAAAUUGGGUGUUGGUCCUAGUUUACUUACAUGUUGGUUGCUCUGAUAAAACUUCUAGGGAAUAAUGUUGGAUCAUCAUGAGCUCUUUAUUUGUCCAUGCCUUAAACAACCCCUCAAGUUAUUUUUUUUUUUACACAAGCCUUGAGCUUUAAAGUGGUUGAAAAAGUAGACACCAUAAUUUCAUUCAAAUAUUGACUCAGAAUGGGAAAUAGAUCAAAUUUUAUUUCAAACGCCAAGUCUCUGCAGUUAAAUAACUCAUUCCUGACCCAGCUUUAAAAAGUUGAUGUGGGAACGUUUAAUACACUGUCAGGUACAAAGUUGUAACAAUCAUUUGUCUGAAUAGUUAGUCUAAUGAUCAGCAAAAGAUAAAUGUCACUCUGAAAGUUUUCUAAAAUGCUGUGAAAAAUUGCCUUUAAACCUGACCAGGAACAUGAUAAUGGAACCAGGACCACUCUAACAUUUUUUUGACCGCAUCAAAUGACAAAAUGAAUAUAUUGAAGAAAAGAAAAUUAAAUAAAACCUGAAGGUUUAUCCAAAUUGAAAGUACCAAACAUUCGCACAUACUUGAUAAAUUUCUUGAAACUCAGCAAAUACAUCAUGUAGACUAUUAAUGUAAGACCUGUACUGCUGAAAUCUUCAGCACAUUCUCCUGUGUAAUUCUUUCUGUUUUGAGUGUGCUAAUGAAAUAAGAUUGUAACCCCUUCGUAUUUCAUUUACUCCUAUCUCAUCCCUUAUUUUUAUUUUUACUUUUUUUUCUG